UACAGAGGCCUCAAGCGUUAGGCGGAUUCACUGGGCGUAAAGGGUGCGCAGGCGGUCUGCUAAGCAGGGUGUGAAAGCCCCCGGCUCAACCGGGGAAUUGCGCCCUGAACUGGCAGGCUUGAGUGAGAUAGAGGUGUGGGGAACUUCCGGUGGAGCGGUGAAAUGUGUUGAUAUCGGAAGGAACGCCAGAGGCGAAAGCGCCACACUGGGUCUCAACUGACGCUGAGGCACGAAAGCCAGGGGAGCAAACGGG
rnacentral:rRNA from 1 species